UACGGAGGGGGCUAGCGUUGUCCGAAGUUACUGGGCGUAAAGCGCGCGUAGGCGGGUUGGUAAGUCCGCUGUGAAAGCCCGGAGCUCAACUCCGGAGGGUCGGUGGAUACUGCCAGUCUUGAAGGUGCUAGGGGGAGAUGGAAUUACCGGUGUAGCGGUGAAAUGCGUAGAUAUCUGGAGGAACACCGGUGGCGAAGGCGGCAUCCUGGACCGGCAUUGACGCUGAGGCGCGAAAGCCAGGGGAGCAAACGGG
rnacentral:rRNA from 1 species